GGAAGCUUAUCAUUCAUUUUGUUUGAGUUCAUUUGUCCACGACGAGAUCACUCACCAUUGAAGAGCUAAGACUUUGCCUGCUUCCCACUUGCUGCAGCUUCUGUACAGGACGGCUAUGAAAGCAUCAGGGUGCGUUGCAGAAAUGUAAGGUUUUGUCUUCUCCCUGGUAAACAGGAAGAACUGAUCCUAUAGUUAAAGCUCUGGACUGAGACUCUGCACAUUUAGGUUCUCUCUUGCCCCAGGGGAUGUUGUCCUAGGGGAUGUUGGAAUCAAGAUCCACAAAUUGAGCCAGGUUUGAAAUGUUCAGCUUCAGUUAAAAUGCAGAACUUUUGGAUGAAAUUACCAUAUUUGCCUGAAUCCAAGAUGACUGAUCUCAUUCUCAAAUCCACUACCUACAGUGACCAGAAAUGGAGAAAAAUAUGGGACCCAUUUUUGGAAUAAUAAAAAAAGACUGCUGGACAAGAAUGGAGAGAAGAUAAGGAGAGAACAGUCUAGUCUGGCCAUACUUGAGGGCUCAGGACAUGGUCAUCUUUCAAAUGAAUGGAGAAAUCAGGUAUGGCUUUCAAGAUAUCCAGAAUGUUUAUUUUCCUUAUAGCAGUUGCAUCUUUUUUGUGUGUCUGUUUUUACACCACCCUCAACUGGAGUGAUAUCUGUAUAUUCUGCCCGAAGGGGGAAGUGGUUACAUCAUUGACUUAUUUUAAAAAAGAGACUGAAAAGUUCCUGCAGUUGCCAGAUACGGACUGCAGUAAGAAUCCUCCAUUCCUAGUACUGCUUGUGACAUCAUCAUGUGACCAGAAAGAAGCUAGGAUGGCUAUUCGUCAAACGUGGGGGAAGGAGAAACUAGUUGCUAGGAAACGAAUUCUAACAUUUUUCCUCCUUGGAACCACUGAGAAUCAAUACGAGCAAACUGAUGUUCUCGCUGAAAGCCAGGCAUACAAAGAUAUUAUCCAGAAGGGUUUUAUAGAUACAUAUUAUAAUUUGACUUUGAAAACAAUGAUGGGAAUGGAAUGGGUUCACAAAUUCUGUCAACAGUCCAGUUUUGUUAUGAAAACUGAUUCAGACGUAUUUGUCAAUGUCUUUUACUUGACUGAACUUCUUUUAAGAAAGAACAGAAGCUCUAACUUUUUUACAGGGUUUUUAAAAAUGAAUGAGCGCCCAAUACGACAGGUGUUUAGUAAGUGGUAUGUGAGUAAAUAUGAAUAUCCUGGAAGCACUUAUCCUCCAUUUUGUUCAGGAACUGGUUAUGUUUUUUCUACUGAUGUUGCUAGUCAGGUUCUUAAUAUUUCAGAAAGCGUUCCCUUUAUUAAACUAGAGGAUGUUUACAUAGGACUGUGCCUAGCCAAACUACAAAUCAAAUUGGAGGAACUUAAUUCAAAACAGACAUUCUUUCCAAUCAAGCUUCAGUUCUCACUUUGUCGCUUUGUGACUUGCCACUACAUUACACCUCGUGAACAGCAGGACUAUUGGUCUCAGUUAGAGAAAUCAGUAGAUAAUAUGCCCAGCUGCUUGACAUAGCUGAAACAAGAAACUAACACACAAAAAUCCAGAGGGCCAGUCUUUACCCAGGCAAAACUCUCCCUGAAAUCAGGACAUGGACCCAUUCACUGAAGAAGACAUUAAAUAUUUCUGUUAGCAUUUUUGUUAUCUCCAUACCUGUCUAGGAAUGUGAAAAUCUCCAUCUCACACUUGGUAAUUUUGCUUUUCUUUAUUUGCAAGCACUUUGUUUUCUUUCAGGUUUUAAGUCAAUGUGACUGCUCUGCUCUGUCUGUCUGCACACUGGCAUCACCAGCAACAGGUCCAAGAAUGACUAGUGAUAUUGUAUAUAGACGAAUAAGCAGAUAUUUGAUAGAUAAUUUGUGUGUGUUUGAGGGUGGGUGGUGGGGGUUAAAAAUGUUUACAGGCCAAAAGGAUAUUCCCACAUUUCCUGACAGGCCACAUUCCUGCAAUAGACUUGUAUAGAACACUACUGAAAUCCACAAGGCUUUGCUCAGAUUCAAGGAUAUGCCUAUGCAAAGCUCAUUGCAAGACCUUAGCCUUUGGUACAGUGGGUUAUCUCAAGAGCCUUUAAGGACACCAGAUUUGCUUUCUAGGUACACUUCAUACUGAAUAUCAAGCACAUAGAGCCUUUUCCAAAGUCCGGUGGAGACAGUCCCACUUACUUCUAUUGACUUGGAUUCAUUCUAGAAAGGAUUUUAUGAAUCCAUGGAUCACUGUCACAGCUAUCGCUUUCUGAGCAUUGUACCAUAUUUUCUCAUGUAUAACCUAUUCUUGAAUAUAAUGUACACCCUGUUUUUUAAAAGGUAAUAUGUAGAAAAAAGGGUCUAGGGACCUGAGCCUGCUGCCAGCCCUGGGUGCUGGUUGGGACCCAUGGGGACCAAUCCAGUAUGGUGGGUUUGGGGCUAUGUACCAGGUCUGACCCCACGUGGUAGGUGUGGGACUGUGUGACAGGCCUGAUCUGACACAAUGGGUCUGAAUCCAUGUGGCAGGUCUGGGACUGCACAGCCUGAGGGCAUAGCCAGUUUGGGACUGCAUAGACGUGCGCCAUGUCCAACCCCACACGCUGUCUCUGGGGCUGAAUGCCGACUAUGCCCUGGCUCUGGAGCCACAUGCUAGGUCCAACCUAGAACAUGGUCCAAGAGCCAGUGCAUGGUCCCAGACUCAGCAUGCCAACUCCAACCCAGCACAUGGCUUCGUAAACAGCGUGCUAGGCACCAUCUAGCAUACCAGGCCCAGAGCUGUAUGCUAGGUUGUACUUAAUGCACUGGCUUUGGCCAUGGACCAGCCCUGUGCACAGGCUGAAUCUGGUAUGUGGAUGGGGAGAGUGGCUCCCCAUGGCUCUGGAAAUCUGGUGAUGUGGGGUGGGGAGCAGUGGCAUGUUAAUUAUCUUGGUACCCAGAGCUACAGCAAUUAAUGUUCCCACUACUCCUUUCCCACUCCCCAGCCACAUUUCUGGAUCCCUAAGGCUCUCUUUUUCUUGCACAUAAUGUGCACCCCAAUUUUCCCCAGUUUGUUUUUUUGGGGGGUGGGGGGAAAGGUAUAGGUUAUAUGUGAGAAAAUAUGAUAAUUUUGUAACAUGGUUUGUUGGAACUGAAUUAUGAUCACUUUAAAUCAAUGAGACAAUGUAUUAUAAACAUCUUCCUUCCUGUCAUGAAUUCAGGGAGGAGCAAAAAAAUUCUGCUGUAAUCAAACAUGUCCGCUUAAUGUUAUAGACCAAGAGCCUGAUUCUCUGUUUUUUUUAGUAUCCAGUGUUUCUAGAGAUCCAUGGGAGCUUUUGAUGUACAAGGAACAUAGGACUGAGCCCUUAAAGUAAAUGCAACUGAUAAAUAAAGUGAAAAUGUAGAGGGUAAAUUCUGUAGUCACAACAUCUGCAAAAUUCCCACUGAUUUAUGGGGAAUUAUGUUCCAUCAUGGCUAACAUAUAACAGAUAGACUCCAACCUAUCAGUUUUAUUUACAAAUAUAUACCACAACCCAAGGCUAUAUUUAAUUGAUGUUUUACUAGAAGUACUUUGAAAUCUCAUAAAUACAAUAUUCUGAUACAGUUAUAUGAACUAGUAUGAUGCAUUUUGCUGUAAGUGACUAAUUAUUGUAGCUUGGGACCCCAAUUCAUCUAGAUGCUUAAAUAUGUGCCUAACUUCAAACAUGAUAGUUUUACUGAAAUCAGUGGAAUUACUCCUGCUCAAAGUUAGGUGUAUGCUCCAGGGUUUAGAUUUGGGGACUGGAAAAAUAGUUAUUGACUACAUUUACUGUAUAUUUUCUGUAAGGGAAAGUUACAAGUCUAAAAUGAACAUGAAAUUUCCAAUAUUUCAACAAUUCCAACAUCAGUUUCAUGGCAUUGAGCUUAAGGUAGAAGAAUAAGUAUACCUUAUCACAUAGUUCUCUCUGAAGGUGAGCAUAAGUAUCUCUAGAUCUGGGAAGUGAUAAUGAUAACUGUAAUAACAGGAACAAGAACAAUGAUUUGUUCAUUUCUGGUGCAGUGCAACAUGGAGUGUACUUAAUUUGCAUAUCACAGGAUGAGCAAAUCUUUUCUGUUUGUUCAGCAUCAGGGAACACACCCCAGCUAUAUCUGAAGUUAUUUUGCUGGUCGUCUCAGUGGGGGAGGUGGAUCAGGAUCCUUAAGCCAAGCUUCAAUUUUUUCACCACUUUUCUUAACUGUCCUUCUCAAUGUAAAGAAUUUCUAGGGCUGUCGUAGGACAUGAAUACACAAGCUGUGCAUGAUGCCAAUGUAAAGAUUAAAGACACAGGGCAGGUUCUGUGCUGUGCUUCUGCAGAGGCCAGAAGAAAGAAGGAGAUAGGUGGCUCAAAAUGGCUAAAACUGGCAUUUGCAUAAGUAACAGCAUUCCUGGAGGAUGUCCCCCUUUGGGACAACAUAUUGAUAUGCUGAUAUUGCACCAUGACAUUGAUAUAUGUCUAUGCUGAUGCUGCACUAUGGAAUUCCUGUAGCGCUGAGUUUUAAGGGAAUGUCCCUGGUCUGUCCAUAGCCUUGCCCCUGUGCUGGAGACUGUGAAAUGAAGUAUGGUAAGACUAUUUACUCUGCUGCUCUUGCACUAAGGAAAAUUCUUCAUCAGUCCCUUGUAGCUAGGGCCAUCCCUAAAGGGGGUGAAUCAGGGUGACUGCCCCGGGCUCCACGCUUUUGUGGGCCUUGUGGUCAGUGCUGUAUAGGCCCCGUCACAGCUGCCAUGUGCCACCACUGCCAAGAACCACUGGCUCUGCCACUGCUGCCAAGGGCUGCCAGCUCUGGCUGCUUGCCACCCCGCCCCCCCAGGCCCUGCACAGGCUGAUAUGCCCCAGACCAGCACACCCCUAGGGACGGCUCUGAUUGUAGCUCUCAGCCCACAUUCACUGUUGGAUAUCACAUAGCCACUAUCUCUGUGCCUAAUACUAUUAUUAUCCUGUCCACUAGGAGCAGCUUUGUCCUUUAUAGUUAGCAAAAAGUAUUCAAUAUCAGAAGAAUGAUUUUUCUGUUCUAGACAUUAAAAUCUAGUAGCAGUGUUGUUGCUGUAGCUGUGAUGGUCCAGGGAAUAUGUAAGAUGCCAGAUUUCUAGGGUGAGAUAAUAUCUUUUAUUGGACCAGCUGUGUGGCUAGGACAGAAGUUACACAAACCUUUUCCUCAGAUCUGGGAAAGAAGCAAAUACAACCCAAGCUAAAUACCAGGUAGAAAAACUGCUCUCAUUUAACUUAGUUACGUUAAUGAAUAUGAUCCUUUAAAACGGUGGUCUCCAACCUUUUUAUGGUAAAGAUCACUUUUUGGCACCCCAGGAUCUAUCUGGGCCUGGCUCACCUCUACUCCCUCCCGAUCCGUGCCAAGCCCUAGCCCUAGCCCCAGCCCCAGCCCCAGCCCCAUUCCCUCUCCCCCGCCCACUGCCUCUCUCCCUGCAGACUUUCUACCGGGGGGGGUGCACAUGCUCAGCCCCCCCCCAAUUUUCUUCUCCCUCUGCCUAUGGUUAUAUGUGAGAAAAUGUAGUGGUCAGUUCUGUUAGAUGGUGUGGCUGUUUAGCCUUAGGUAGGCUGAAUUUGUGCACAAAGACUCAGGCCUUUCCCUUACCAGCAUAUUUCUGUGCUGCUUCCCUGAAGUGAAUGUGACUUAUGAGGUACUGAAAUCCCUCUAUCAAUUACAAUUCGUACAUAAUUUUGUAAAGACUUUGUGAUCCUUUCUUACUAUGAAGAGAAGAGUCACCUUUUGAGGUCCAGAUUCUGGUACCCUUCCUCAAAAUGGAUGGGUGGUAUUUUGGACCAAGAGUGGCUCUGUUAUGUUCCACAGAAUCACUAGUGAAGUACAGCUUAAUGUGAAUCAAGAUUGCAGAAUCUGCCCUACUGUUUGUAAAAAAGGGAUUCAUGUUAAGUUUAUGGUCACCAUGUUACUGGCAAUGAAUUCUCUGGAGAUUGUUUAAAGGACUAUCCCACGAUAAGCAGAGAGAGGGAGUUUGCUUUGUUAGUUUGAAGUCAGGAAGAAGGCAGGGUGUGCAUGAAUUCACUUAAUCAGAUGAUGAUACAGUGAUAAAGUGCUGAUAAUGUGAACUCAGGCUCACAGAAGCUUAUGCAUGUCUGAUUUAGUUAGUCCAUAAGGUGCAUCUCAACCCUGCCUUCUGACUUCCCAACAUGAACACCGCUUCCUCCCCAUGUAUUUGUGUGGUUCUAGCAGCUUAUGGAAAUAUGGAUUCCCAUCAUUACUUCCAUUUAAAAUAAUAUUGUCACUAUGUUAUGUUCAGAAUAUAACAUGUGUUUGUCUAGGACUCUAUAUUAUUAAUAUUAUUGUGGCUAGUUGGCUAAAUUGUUUGAGAUAUUCAUUACUGAAGGCUAGCAAAUGGUCUCAAUUUAAAUAGUUCAGCUGCCCUUUUUGCAUUAUCUGAAGGAAUGGUUUUGACUGAUAUAUCCUACUUUCAUCACAAUUAUUUAAGUUAUAUUUUGAUUUCUUUUUUUAGUUCUAUACACUUGAUAAAUCUGCUCUGAACAGUAAUAAGUGAAAGAUAUUAUUAGAGACUAAAACAUUAAGUUACAUUAUUACAAAAACCAUAAGAAAAUAAUUGAUCACAGGUAUAGCAAAUUCAUUAGUUUAAAAACUAACACUUGCCAAUUUUGGUAUUAGCCAAAUGAAAAGAACUGUUGCAGUUUAAGUCACUGAUAAUGGUUUUAGCAACAUUACACUGAACAGCUAAUGAACUUUGCCAAAUUAUUUAUAUUUUGCUAAUAGUGGUCAGUAUGGAAAAUCUGGAAACAUUUAUUAGUAGGCUUGGCAGAAUUCAAUUUUUAUUUUUUAAAUAAUUUUGGUGGCUAAAAGCAGUGUUCAAUUCUAAGCCUUUAUUUCAAUUGUUAUCUAUUUACAUUUUCAGGAUGGUAUGAAAUUAGGGAUGUGGGGUGCAGGCAAUGUAGUAAUGACAGGAUACUGUUAAAAGCUUUAUAAAAUCACACAUCAACAUAUAAAAAGUAAAUAUCCAUAUAUCAAUAAAUCAUAUCUUUUUUAAAUCAUUCUUUUCAUUCAUCAAGAAAGAGCUGGGUGAUCAGGGACCAAAGGAGGAGGGCAGCAGCACUCUUAGAGCUCUGGGAACAUGGCCCUCAGGGCCCACUGCCCUGGACAUUUAUCUAUGUUUAUCAAUAACAAUCAAAUCCUGCCAAGGCUAUUUAUUGGUUUUGUAAACACAAAUUAUGCAGUGCUAGAUGUAUGAUUUUUUUAAAAAAAUAUCUGAUGACAUGCUUUAGAAUGAAUUAUUUAAAGAGCUUAUUUGCAGAGGAAGUGCUAUAUUGUAACAUUUUUAUACUCAAUGGUUCAGAAAACAAUCAGAUCAGGACAUUUUGAAUCACUCUAGAAAUUUGAAAGGUACUCUGCUGUCUUUCAGUUUAGCCAUUGGGCCCCUAAAAACAAACAACAAAGCUGACAAUGGAUUACAGUUAAUUAAAAUAUAUUUCAGCAUCCUAAAGUUUCCAUUCCCCUCAACACAAGCUCUUUUUAAGAAAAUAAAGUGAUGUUAAUAAAUAAUGUAAAUCCUAAACUCUUUGAACAACUUUUUAUUUAUUUUUUUAAAUUUUGGCUGGGAUUUUCAAAGGUGCCGCAGGGUCCACAUCUCAAGAAUGUGAAUAGGGUUUGUGAAGAUAAAUCUCUUAGGCUCCUCAGAAAGUCCUAGUCUAUAUUUUUGUAAUCAUUCAUUGGCCAUAUGUAAAAACUCAAUGUAGCAAAAGGGCUAAUUAUGUAUAGCAUAUCUGAUGCCACAAAGUAUGAUUGUACUUGCACAGGUAACUUUUUAGUUCUAAUAUAAAUAUGCAUGACACUGUUUACAUUAUUUGCCUAGGACAUCUAAAUGUUAAGCUAACAAAAACUGAAUGUCUGAUGAUAUUUUAGUAAAAUAUUUUAU